rnacentral:tRNA from 1 species
CGAAGGAUAGCAAAGAGGGUCUAUGAGGAGGAUUGAAACCCCUCAGAUCUCGGUUCGUUACCGGGUCCUUCGGCCA